rnacentral:tRNA from 1 species
UAAAAGAUAAGCUAAUAAAGCUAUUGGGUUCAUACCCCGCUUAUAAAGGUUUUACUCCUUUUCUUUUUA